AAGGAUUUAGUUUAAUUAAAACUUUAAUUUGUCAGGUUAAGAAUAUUUUUUAUUCCUUGAUUC
rnacentral:tRNA from 2 species